rnacentral:lncRNA from 1 species
UUCCUUAGAACUAUUUUCAGCAGUUUCAUAUUUUUUCAUGUGAUGGAUUACUUGUUUCCCUCCUUCCCUUGUAAAAUCAUCUGAUACUGACUUUAAAGUAAGCUGCCCAAGUCCAUGGAAAUGUACCGUGCUAUUUGAUCAUAAAGUAGGACUCAUGGCAAUGGAUGCUGCUUUAACAAGUGAAAUAACCCAACAAAUAAGGAAGCAAGGUAAGAAAGCAGAAUUCUUGCUCAUUUGACCUGUCUCGGAUGCUUAGCUGGGUCACAAUACAGUACAACAGUAACAUAUUAAAUUGUAUAUAAAUGAGAUAUAGCAAGUUAGAAGUGCACAAAUAUUUGUAAAUCCC